AAAACAAAGUUAACAACAUAAGGUAAAAUCAUCGAGGAGUAACGACAACUUGUCACUACGCCUAGAUAAAUUUUCAUUGCCAUAUAUCAUAUGGUAGCAGAAUUUACUGUUUGUUAAGUCUUACUCUG